AAUACGUUGGUCGCUCCCGGAUGUUUUUUUUAAUUAAACGCCACUCUAUUCCUGACGAUGACGAUUGCGCCAGACGCUGCAGGGUGGAACUACACCUCAGGCCUACCGUAGGGCUCAUCGGCCGCCACUGGGCCCUCUACUUUCGGUGGGAGGACGGCUACGACGUGCAGUACGAGGCCACGGAUGUCAACAGGCUCCUCUUGCCAAACUGGGGCCGAGGGAGGCCGGGGAAUAUGUUCGUAAGAUGACGCUCUCUCCGAAGAGGGUCAAUUCCUGCGCCAGGGAUAACCUGACAAAAUGGAACUGCCAAGCAGCUGGCCUCCGAUUUGGGAUUCGACCUUCCAAUGCCACUGAAUGUUGUGGGAAGCAUUCCCGGGUCGGAGGUCGUCGAUCUUACCUAUGCUCUCUUUACCGUCGUAUUUAAUAGGUCUUAGAAAAGCCCUAUAGAAGGCUAAAGAGAGGAGGCGAUAUGUGCUGGAAAAAAAUUAUGAAAGGAAUUCCUGCAAACACCUCCGUUCGAAUGGGCGAGGAAACAGAUCCGUUCAGAACGCGGAUGUCGACCAAGUCGUCAUUCGUCACACGAAACUGAACAACAAAAUCCCCCGCCCCCCACCUCCCUCUCAGGAUUCGGAGUGCUUGGGGCCAUGCCAGCAGCAGCAACCCUUACUGACGUCGAAAUAAAUUCGGAAGGUGGCACCCUCUCGCCCAGCCUGCAUGAAAGGACUAGCAGCCUCAAGGAGUCAGGGGCUCAGUCCACUCCGUGGGUCCGUGGCAUCUAAACCGCCUUAAGCAAUACGUCAGUGGGGCCCAGAAGAUAUCUUCUUCCUGCUCAGGAAUGGACCUCACAACAGACGACGACCGCGUUAGACCCUGCAGGGUGGCGUUAUACCGAAGGCCUAUCCUAGGACCCUUUGCCUCCCACUGGGCGCUCUACUUCAAGUGGGAGGGCGGAUACGACUUGCACUGCGAGGGCCUGGAAAUCGACGGCGUCCUCAAGCCAAGCUGCGAACGAGGGAAGCCGGAACAUGGGCCAGACUCCGAGGUGACGGAUAUCGGGACUCAGCGCCGCCUCUCCCCGAAGAGGGUAAACAAGCGCGCCUUGCAGAACCACCACAACGGCAAACCGUACCAGUACACCAAGAUGAACUGUCAGGUGUGGGCCGAACAGCUGGCUUCUGAUUUGAACUUCAACAUUCCAGUGUCUAAGAAUAUUGUGGGAGACAUUCCCGGGUCUGAGGUCAUCGAUGGGAUCUAUAGCGUCCUUGGCAUCCUGUCUGGGAGCUCUAAAAAGUCCUAGAGGGCUGAGAAGAGAUUUUUAGCAUGUGAACAACUGUCUUCAGGAAUAUUCGAGAAGAAGAAAAACAUGGCAAAUAUAACGAAAUUAUUCUAAUGACCACUUCAUUCCGUCGUCAUUAUACCACAAGAAGAAGAAGAUUGGAGAUAUAAUGUGUUGCCCUUAAUAAUGUCAAUAAUGUUACUUUCUAUCCAUUGGUUUGUGAUUUGCUUGCUUGUUUGUUUGUUGGUUUAAAUCUCCAGAGUUAAGUUAUAUCUGUAUUUUGUUAGCUUUGCAUUUUGGAAAUGAAAUAGAAUUAUAACAAUUAGGUCUA